rnacentral:rRNA from 1 species
AACGAACGCUGGCGGCAUGCCUAACACAUGCAAGUCGAACGAGACCUUCGGGUCUAGUGGCGCACGGGUGCGUAACGCGUGGGAACCUGCCCUUAGGUUCGGAAUAACUCCCCGAAAGGGGUGCUAAUACCGGAUAAUGUCUUCGGACCAAAGAUUUAUCGCCUUUGGAUGGGCCCGCGUUGGAUUAGCUAGUUGGUAGGGUAAAAGCCUACCAAGGCGACGAUCCAUAGCUGGUCUGAGAGGAUGAUCAGCCACACUGGGACUGAGACACGGCCCAGACUCCUACGGGAGGCAGCAGUGGGGAAUAUUGGACAAGGGGCGAAAGCCUGAUCCAGCAAUGCCGCGUGAGUGAUGAAGGCCUUAGGGUUGUAAAGCUCUUUUACCCGGGAUGAUAAUGACAGGACCGGGAGAAUAAGCUCCGGCUAACUCCG